rnacentral:rRNA from 1 species
GAUGAACGCUGGCGGCGUGCUUAACACAUGCAAGUCGAACGGAAAGGCCCUGCUUUUGUGGGGUGCACGAGUGGCGAACGGGUGAGUAACACGCGUGUAAACUGCCCUUGAAUUUGGGAUAACUUCAGGAAACUGGGGCUCAUACCGGAUAUGAGCUCCUGCUGCAUGGUGGGGGUUGGAAAGUUUCGGCGGUUGGGGAUGGAAUCGCGGCUUAUCAGCUUGUUGGUGGGGUAGUGGCUUACCAAGGCUUUGACGGGUAGCCGGCCUGAGAGGGUGACCGGCCACAUUGGGACGGAGAUACGGACCAGACUGCUACGUGAGGCAGCAGUGGGGAAUAUUGCACAAUGAACGGAAGCCAGAUGCAGCAACGCCGCGUGCGGGAUGACGGCCUUCGAGUUGUAAACCACUUUCGCCUUUGACGAAACGUGAGUGACGGUAAUGGGUAAAAAAGCACCGGCUAACUACGUG